UGUAGGCUACCUGCCGAGAUUUGCAUCCACCUCUUUUCUCAGCAUAAGUGCAUGCAGUUCUCGGCAGGCAGGCAGAAUUCGGCACAACACCUGGUUUCACCGAUGCAUCGGCGGAGGAAAUGGUAUCAGAAGUCUGAAGCUGAGGAGCGAUGCUGUCAGCGUUGCUGAAACGGUGAGUUGUGCACUGUGAAAUGUUUCAAAUGAUUUAUUCACACUAGCGAACUGACGUUAGUUGACGUAGUAAAACGUUUAUUAAUUAACAUGAGCGUUCUCUGUGUGUGAGUGACUAUUGCAUCCUUAUUAAUUCAUUCAUUCAUUCAUUCAUUUCAAGCCACAAGUGUGUGGUACCAAUGCUUGCAAUAUGGAGGUCCUGAGAGCUCAACAUACUGAAACUUAAGAAGACACAUGAUACAUACAUAUUAUUAAACACCACUCAGACAGAGAAGGUCGAUCUCAUGGCAGGGCCGGUGGUUGUUCCAUUUAGGUUGGCUUUUGUUGUAAUUACAUUUUCUUCUUUACAGAAAGGAAGGAUCUGGAUCUGUGGAGGCCAGCCAUUAUUUAACAUCUGUACUCAACUGCAGCUUCUUUCACUGUAACUGAGAUGUGAUGGUGAACCACGUUCAGAAACAUCCAUGAACACAGCACGCUGGAACCAGUCUGUUUUGAAACAGCCAUUUUGGAGAUUAAGACAUGUAGCAUCAGCCUUCAUGGAGUCCACUGCACCUGCCCCGCUUAGCAGAUCGGCCAAAAGAUCCUGAUGGAUGGAUGAGGCAGUCAGCCUUUGUUGGUUAACAGUUUAACAUGGGACAUAAAUGUGAAACCAGCACAGAAGUCUUGGUUCGCGGUUUUCAGGUUAAGAUAUUUAUUAAUGAAGGCAAAGCCAGAUCAGUCCUACAAUUAAUAUUAUCCUCGGCCAAAGACAUACUCACUAAUUUGUCUACUAAAAAACAUCUCUAAAAGAGAUUUAGAUGAAAUCUGGUAAACAAAUAUGUCUCAGCCAACGCUUGAGGUGUGACUUUUGUUGUUCUCAACAUUGCAAGAUAGUAUUUUGUUUUGUCACUGUACUGUAAAGAAUGGUCGCUGUGUAUUUUCAUGUGGAGCCAGUAGAUGUUAAUUAAAAUAUUUUCUAUUAAUAAAAUCUUGAGAAUUGUA